rnacentral:tRNA from 1 species
GCCCCGGUAGCUCAGAUGGAUAGAGCAUCCCCCUCCUAAGGGGAAGGUCGGACGUUCAAAUCGUCUCCGGGGCACCA